AUUGAACGCUGGCGGCAUGCCUUACACAUGCAAGUCGAACGGUAACAGGUUAAGCUGACGAGUGGCGAACGGGUGAGUAAUGUAUCGGAACGUGCCCAGUCGUGGGGGAUAACUGCUCGAAAGAGCAGCUAAUACCGCAUACGACCUGAGGGUGAAAGCGGGGGAUCGCAAGACCUCGCGCGAUUGGAGCGGCCGAUAUCAGAUUAGGUAGUUGGUGAGGUAAAGGCUCACCAAGCCGACGAUCUGUAGCUGGUCUGAGAGGACGACCAGCCACACUGGGACUGAGACACGGCCCAGACUCCUACGGGAGGCAGCAGUGGGGAAUUUUGGACAAUGGGCGCAAGCCUGAUCCAGCCAUGCCGCGUGCGGGAAGAAGGCCUUCGGGUUGUAAACCGCUUUUGUCAGGGAAGAAAAGGUUCUGGCUAAUACCUGGGACUCAUGACGGUACCUAAAGAAUAAGCACCGGCUAACUACGUG
rnacentral:rRNA from 1 species